rnacentral:rRNA from 1 species
CAGCAGCCGCGGUAAUACGAAGGGUGCAAGCGUUAAUCGGAAUUACUGGGCGUAAAGCGUGCGUAGGCGGUGAGUUGAGUCUGCUGUGAAAUCCCCGGGCUCAACCUGGGAAUGGCAGUGGAUACUGGCUCGCUAGAGUGUGUCAGAGGAUGGUGGAAUUCCCGGUGUAGCGGUGAAAUGCGUAGAGAUCGGGAGGAAUACCGGUGGCGAAGGCGGCCCCCUGGACGAAGACUGACGCUCAGGUACGAAAGCGUGGGGAGCAAACAGGAUUAGAUACCCCUGUAGUCCCUGUCUCUUAUAC